rnacentral:rRNA from 1 species
CCUACGGGGGGCAGCAGUGGGGAAUAUUGCACAAUGGGCGCAAGCCUGAUGCAGCGACGCCGCGUGAGCGAUGAAGGCCUUCGGGUCGUAAAGCUCUGUCCUAAGGGAAGAAUAAUGACGGUACCUUAGGAGGAAGCCCCGGCUAACUACGUGCCAGCAGCCGCGGUAAUACGUAGGGGGCGAGCGUGAUCCGGAAUCACUGGGCGUAAAGGGUGCGUAGGCGGCACGGCAAGUCAGGAGUGAAAUCCCGGGGCUCCACCGAGGUCACCUCUGGCGACUGUAGGACUGGAGUGCAGGAGAGGAGAGGGGAAUUCUUAGUGUAGAGGUUGAAUGCGUAGAUACCGGGAGGAACACCCGUGGUUAGGGCGGCUAUCGGGACUGCAAGUGAGGCCGUGGCCCGCAAGCGUGGGCUGCGAACAGGAUAAGAGACGCGGGUAGUC